ACGACGCCGUUUUGAAGGGCUAUUUAAGCCACUAUCUUUCCAAAAAAAAAAUCAUUUUAAGCCAUUUUAAAAAAAAAAACAAAAAAACCUUUUAAAAAACUCUCCCCUCCCUAGUCGUCCGGCCUCCAGUCUGGCCACCGGCCGAUCAUCGGCCACCGUGCCUGCCAUCGGCCUCCGGCGACGGCACCGCCGUCUGCGGUGGCCAGAAAAGGAGAAAAUCUCCUAUUCGUCUCUUCAAAGCCCCUAAACCCAGAUCCGGGCUCAAAAUUCCCAAAAUCAACAAAGAAGUCCUAAAAAAUCCUAGAAACCUUUCGGCUUCUAACCAUCUGUCCUCAGAGACAGACCUCGGCCUUCCACAGUGUUUCAGAAGCGAACCAUGGUACGAUGUGCGUGAAGAUUUGACUCGUGCAGAGGCCUUGGUUGCGGCGCAAGUGUUUCCUUAGAAAUCCUAGGGUUUCUGUAAAUGUCUUGGCCAUUGUAAUUUGGGCCACUAUUCUUGUAUUUUGGGUUUGGGUUUUGGGCCCAAUUUAUUGUAAAAGGACUGUUUAUUUGCUUCA